rnacentral:rRNA from 1 species
GAAUUCACUAGUGAUUCAGGCCUAACACAUGCAAGUCGAACGCUUUGUGGUUCAACUGAUAUGAAGAGCUUGCUUGGAUUUGAAGAUGAACAUUGCAAAGAGUGGCGAACGGGUGAGUAACACGUGGGAAACCUACCUCUUAGCGGGGGAUAACACUUGGAAACAAGUGCUAAUACCGCAUAAUACUGAUAACCGCAUGGUUAUCAGUUGAAAGAUGGUUCUGCUAUCACUAAGAGAUGGUCCCGCGGUGUAUUAGCUAGUUGGUAAGGUAAUGGCUUACCAAGGCAAUGAUACAUAGCCGAGUUGAGAGACUGAUCGGCCACAAUGGGACUGAGACACGGCCCAUACUCCUACGGGAGGCAGCAGUAGGGAAUCUUCCACAAUGGACGAAAGUCUGAUGGAGCAACGCCGCGUGUGUGAUGAAGGGUUUCGGCUCGUAAAAAAAGGGUGUAAGAGAAGAAUGACAUUGAGAGUAACUGUUCAGUGUGUGAC